rnacentral:rRNA from 1 species
GGCGGACGGGUGAGUAACACGUGGGUAACCUGCCCAAGAGACUGGGAUAACACCUGGAAACAGAUGCUAAUACCGGAUAACAACACUAGACGCAUGUCUAGAGUUUGAAAGAUGGUUCUGCUAUCACUCUUGGAUGGACCUGCGGUGCAUUAGCUAGUUGGUAAGGUAACGGCUUACCAAGGCAAUGAUGCAUAGCCGAGUUGAGAGACUGAUCGGCCACAUUGGGACUGAGACACGGCCCAAACUCCUACGGGAGGCAGCAGUAGGGAAUCUUCCACAAUGGACGAAAGUCUGAUGGAGCAACGCCGCGUGAGUGAAGAAGGGUUUCGGCUCGUAAAGCUCUGUUGGUAGUGAAGAAAGAUAGAGGUAGUAACUGGCCUUUAUUUGACGGUAAUUACUUAGAAAGUCACGGCUAACUACGUGCCAGCAGCCGCGGUAAUACGUAGGUGGCAAGCGUUGUCCGGAUUUAUUGGGCGUAAAGCGAGUGCAGGCGGUUCAAUAAGUCUGAUGUGAAAGCCUUCGGCUCAACCGGAGAAUUGCAUCAGAAACUGUUGAACUUGAGUGCAGAAGAGGAGAGUGGAACUCCAUGUGUAGCGGUGGAAUGCGUAGAUAUAUGGAAGAACACCAGUGGCGAAGGCGGCUCUCUGGUCUGCAACUGACGCUGAGGCUCGAAAGCAUGGGUAGCGAACAGGAUUAGAUACCCUGGUAGUCCAUGCCG